GGAUUAUUUCACACUGGCCUCCAUUCAGGCAGUAGUUUGGCUGCACAGCGCAGGUGCUCUGACAAGGCAGGCCAUCCACGGUGCUGUAACCCGGAUCACACAGACACUCUGCCUCUUCGGUCCAACUGUUCACCACGCAGCGUGAAAACUCAUUGCAAGCCAGGAAUUUACAGGGGUCUGCUUGGUCAGCUGAAACCAACAGAGAGGAGAGGAGGGGAGAGGAAAGAGGGGUGCUGGCUUGUCUCAUGGCCGGCGCAGCCGUGGAUUCGUAUGGGCGUUCGUCAUACUCUGAGGGGAAUCCACUACCACUCCCUUCUUCCAGAGGUUCGGUCACUUCCACCUCCAUCCCAUUCUGACUUGACCCUACAUCCUCUUGAGUGUUUGAGUUCUCAGGAGGCAGGUCUGCUGAGACCAGGGUCACUCCACUGUGCCCUCCACUAGCUUCAUCUCUGUCCUCAAGGGCUUCGCCGCUCUCAGCGGGGGAUGGCAAAGGCUCCACAUCUGUGUCUGGUUCAAUGCCUUGGACAGCAUCCUCAUGAGAUGAUGAUUUGGAGACUGGGACUGAAGCUUCCUUGACAGAUAUCUCAGUAACCGUGGGGUAUGUAGACUCUGGCAGCACAAGGUUAACCUCAGGAGGUGUUUCAGUAAUUUCUUCUUCUGGUUUGGAGUCAGGAGUUGCCUCAGGAAGAUCUUCAUUUUGUUGCUCUGGAGGUUCCUCAGGGGCCCCAUCAGCUGAUUCAAGUUCUUUAAAAUAAAACAUAUCAGAAAAGAGUUUUUAUGUUUAUGCUGUUUCAUCUGAUAGGUACCAGUACCCAUUAUAGUUCGCUGCUUUGAUGAUUUGACUGCUUUUUGCUGUUGCUGCUGUGGGACAAAGCCACCUCCAUUGCAGCCAGUGUGCUAUGUAUUCCAUGUUAACCCCUUGACACACCGGUUCCACCUGUUGUUUCUCUUUAAAAAUAUAGAUAGACAUUUUUCCAAUAGUCAAAUUAGAAGAUUGAAACCACUCUCAUGUUUGAGAGAUAAGUAUAGAGCCAGAGUCAGGAAGCCAUUAUCCUAGCAUAGCAUGAAGACAGGAAGCAGAGGCAAACAGCUAGCCUGACUCUCACCAGUGUUCAAAAUAACUCCUAUCUCUUUAGACCUCUAAAGGUCAAUCAUUAGCAUGUUUUAAUCUUGUUUGUUGUUGGGUUCGUUUCCAGCCCGGGCCUCUUUGCCACACGUCAUCCCCUUACUCUCCCCACUUCUCCUGUCUCUCUUCAUCUGUCCCAUCCACACACAAAAAGGAAUGUGGGGAAAAAAAACAAUUUGUGUGAACAAUAUCCGAGUGCGGUUACUUUGCAAAGUCUUGCCGUAACAGUGAGGUCGCAAGGCAACUAGGAUCUCUGCUAGUUACACAGUUACACCACGUAACUCUCCCUUUUUACAUUACUGUUACUACAAAUUACAGAUGGGGAAAUUAUUUUGGGAAAAUUAGUAGCUUUCGAGGACCUAGUAGGUGGAUUUCUUAACAGCUCCAUACUAAACACACAGGCAUGAGAGUGGCAUUGAUCUUCUUAUCUAACUCAUUUCACCUUCAUUAUAAAAUAUUAAAAUACUUAAUAUUAAGACUCCUUGUUUUUAUAUAUAAAAAAUAUAGUAUUUAUUUAAAAUACAGUAGAUGUCUUGAGCAUCAUUUUAUACAUGUUACACCAAAAUUCAACUUGACCAGCCUGACACAUUUGGUGUAUUUGGAAACUUUAAAAUUAAGUUGUCCAGGUUUGAACAAAAUUAGGCUACGCAGCAUGAGUUUGUAAUGACUCAGCCACCGGCAGGCCUCUGCUUGUUAAUGGGUUCUAAUAUGAUGUAUUGCUUCAGCAGGGAGCAUCUCCAUGUGCAAAACCAAACCACCAAGUCUAAUUGCACUGCCAUUUCCAUUUCCUAUGAGAGGUGAGUGUUCUGUGCAGUUAUGCGUGGGUAAAAGACAAAAAGAAAUAGGUCACUCUUUUUUUGGACAGUCCACUGCUGAUUGUCACUAUUGAGUCUAGUGGAGUUUCAUGUGUAAAAUGAAGCUGACAAACAUGCAUUACCCAGUUAAAGUUACUCUUAGGGUUGAGGUUAAUAUUAAAAUUGGGAUUAGUGUUGGUGCAUAAUGUGUAGAUAUACACAAAACAGGAAAAGCAUGUUUUCCAUCUACUAUCUCAUUCUCCAUUUCCGCUUUAAAUAGGUUACUCUCUGGCUCUUUUAUGUUUUCCUGCUUUAAUCUAAUUACUUUGAGAUGUUUUGUAAUGUUUGGGAUGUGUUUUUAUAUACCCCAUCAGCUGUUCCUGCAUUUUGUGUAUCCUGACCAUAACAACAAUGAGCUCAUCCUCCCACCACUUUCCCACCAUCAGUGGAACAGAGACUUGAUGGAGAAGUGUGGGUUAAGAUGGGGUUUGUCCCGAGGUUCUUCCUGUUUUCUCUCAGUAGCUCUAAAUGGAGUUUACACCACAAUCUAAUGGUUGGUUAAUCAAUAAAGCUUCAAAUUCUUAAA